rnacentral:rRNA from 1 species
GCGGGUUUUUUUAUAAUCUGAGCCUUCUCGGCGCCUCUCGUAGGCGUUUCGAAAAUGAAUCAAAACUUUCAACAACGGAUCUCUUGGUUCUGGCAUCGAUGAAGAACGCAGCGAAAUGCGAUAAGUAAUGUGAAUUGCAGAAUUCAGUGAAUCAUCGAA